UACAGAGGGUGCGAGCGUUAAUCGGAAUUACUGGGCGUAAAGCGUGCGUAGACGGUUAUUUAAGUCGGAUGUGAAAGCCCCGGGCUCAACCUGGGAAUUGCAUUCGAGACUGAAUAGCUAGGGUGCGGUAGAGGGAAGCGGAAUUUCCGGUGUAGCGGUGAAAUGCGCAGAUAUCAGGAAGAACACCCGUGGCGAAGGCGGCUCUCUGGUACGUGACUGACGCUGAGACGCGAAAGCGUGGGGAGCGAACAGG
rnacentral:rRNA from 1 species